rnacentral:rRNA from 1 species
AGCGAACGCUGGCGGCAGGCCUAACACAUGCAAGUCGAACGAACUCAUCGGAGUUAGUGGCGGACGGGUGAGUAACACGUGGGAACGUGCCUUUAGGUUCGGAAUAACUCAGGGAAACUUGUGCUAAUACCGAAUGUGCCCUUUGGGGGAAAGAUUUAUCGCCUUUAGAGCGGCCCGCGUCUGAUUAGCUAGUUGGUGAGGUAAAGGCUCACCAAGGCUACGAUCAGUAGCUGGUCUGAGAGGAUGACCAGCCACAUUGGGACUGAGACACGGCCCAAACUCCUACGGGAGGCAGCAGUGGGGAAUCUUGCGCAAUGGGCGAAAGCCUGACGCAGCCAUGCCGCGUGGAUGAUGAAGGUCUUAGGAUUGUAAAAUCCUUUCACCGGUGAAGAUAAUGACUGUAGCCGGAGAAGAAGCCCCGGCUAACUUCGUGCCAGCAGCCGCGGUAAU